GGCGUUGGUUUCCCCGACUGCAGCCACAGACUGAGUGUGUCCAUCCCCACAGCUCCUGCCAAUUCCAACACUGAGAGUCUGUGUUUGGACGCCUCCAGUGACCACUGGCUCCGCGAGUGAUGACUCACACCCAUCACUCAUCCCCUUCCUGAGUCAGCCGCGGGACCCUCUGCAGGGAGGCGUGCGAGUCAUCGAGAGAACAGCAUUAUUAGUGGCAAACAUCUUGAAGCAAACAAAAUGUGGUCAAGUUGAGCUAACAUCACAUUAUUUUCCUGAAGAAUGCUGUGUGAACUCACGGAGUCCGUCUGCACUAAUCAGUCCAGUGAACGGCUUCCUUCCUUCUGGCAGAGUUCCUUCUCCAGCAUUUCCUCCAAAUCCCACCCAGCAUUAAUGACAUCUGUCUAUAAACAUUAGUUUUAGUCUCAAAUAUUUUUUCCCUCAAAACUCAGAAGCUUAGUGAGAAAAUAAAAAUCACAAUGAGCAA
rnacentral:lncRNA from 1 species